GCCGCCGCCUUUCCCGCCGCCUGCCCGGGGGCAGGUCUGGAGCCCGGUCGCUGCGUCCGGAGCCGCCCGGUAGCGAGCUUCCAUUACCCGGGACUGCAGCCGCUGGUGUCGGGGCAGGCAGCCCCCAGCGGGCCUGGAGCGAGCCGCGGUUCAGUAAACGCUGUUAACGAGCCUUUCCCUCCUCUUCUCCCCAGGAACCGGUCAGGGAUGCAGUCGCUGGAGGCAAAGCGAGGAAGCGGCAGUGGUCCAGAGGAGCCUCGGCUGUCCCCGGAGCACCGGAGAGACCCGGCGCUAUCUGUAGAUAAAUAUGUACCAAAUACAGAUUUAUUCUCGGGGUUUAUCAGCGAUACUGGUUUGCACAUACAGAAACAAUCCAAACCCAUCAGGGUCAGUAACUGCCGCCCCACGACACGUUUUGGUGUCGGCGUUGUCAUCUGCAGCUCGUCACUUCCCAGCAGAGGGAAACGCAGCACAAGUGAUGAGGGGCUGUGGCAAUGGCAGGCCCCUGGCAAACCCCAACUGUCUCUGUUCUCUUUUAACUUCACUUUCUUCUGCUGCCAAACUCUGAUGCAUGCUGAGUGAUUAAAAAUAUCAAAUGCAGCGUUACCCAGCAAGGAGUCAAGCCAGAGGGGAAAGAAGAAACCCAGCGUAGUGAAGCCAGUGUCGUACAACACAGCAGACUGGGGCACGGGGCUUGUAUGUAGCCCUGGUGACAGUGCCUGAAGAAAAAGGAGAGGAUUGUCCUGGCGUGGUUUGGGGUUUGAGUAUCUCCCCUCACCUGCCUCCUCCAUAUCCUUGCUUCUUGGGUGGGAGCUGUCGGAUUUCCAUGCACACGGAGCAAACUGCUGCCACUCCGGGGACAGGGACCACCGGUGCUGGAAGAGGUGGUUUAUCUGCGAGAAGCAGCAGCGAAGGGGUUGAUGUUGUGCAGUCACUGGGCAGUUCAAUAGCUGAGUUACGUGCUGGGUCCCCAGCACUCGGUCACCCCUUGUCCCCUCCAAACACGGGUUAGGAGUGAGCAGAGGGCGAGCGGUCGGGGGGCAGAGGCUCCAUGACACAGGGUGGCCGCAGCUCUGGGGCUGUCCCCCGCUUGCGCAGUCGCUGCCCUCCUGUUGAACCACAGGAGGCUGGAUGUGCCCAUGGGUUUGUGUCCAGCCCUGGGCUCACUGGAGCCUCUUUUCCCUUCCCAAUGUAAUGCAGCUGGAAAAUAAACCCAAGAGGUUUCCCUGGCA
ensembl:lncRNA